GACAGAUUAUAUUGUAUUAAAUUAAAUUAAAUUCUGAUUAUUUAAUGUUACCACAAAACGGAAACCAAAUCGUGUCGUUGUUGAGCCAUUUGACUUGAUUCUGAGACAAAGGUAAUAAACGGCAAAACCUUUUGUUUCUGAGAUGGAAAUCGAAUCAUGCGAUGCAGUGCUUCCUAAACCUCAGGUGCAUGCGACAUUUCGCCUUGGCACAGAAUCAUAUUCUGUGCAGGCAACCAAUGCUUCUUCAUUAUCAGAGCAACUGGUUAACAUGAAAGAACAAAGCAUGGCUAUAUUGAAGGAUUUCAUAACAAAGCAUAAUGUUCCUCAGGAUGUUCCAGACGAGUUGUUAGAAGCUUCUUCUUCAGAGGAUGAUGAUGAUGUUGCUAAGAAGGCUCAAGUAAAGUCUAAGAAAACCAAGUUUACUUAGCUAAAUAUAUCAGAAAUGCCUGAGUGAUUUAAUCUUGGUACUGUAUGAUUCUACAAUUAAUUUAGUUAGUUUAUCCAAGAACUUACGAAAUAUUAUUUGGUGGCAGAAAGCACAUACCGAUAUUUAACUUUGGAAAUACGAUUGUUCAUGUGUGUUUAGGUGAUCUUAAUCAGUUUACUAGCCAUAGCUUGAAUUAUUGUAUUUGCAGCUGAAGUAAAACUUGAACAUUUUGUCUGAUAAUAUGUGUGAUUGUUUAGAAAUAUGGGGCGAAAAGUAGCACUCAGUUUACUAGCAUCUCUAGCAUCUCUGAGCCUGUUAUCUUUGUUCCUA